rnacentral:rRNA from 1 species
CCUACGGGAGGCAGCAGUGGGGAAUAUUGGGCAAUGGGCGCAAGCCUGACCCAGCAACGCCGCGUGAAGGAAGAAGGCUGUCGGGUUGUAAACUUCUUUUCUCAGGGACGAAGCAUGUGACGGUACCUGAGGAAUAAGCCACGGCUAACUACGUGCCAGCAGCCGCGGUAAUACGUAGGUGGCAAGCGUUAUUCGGAUUUACUGGGUGUAAAGGGCAUGUAGGCGGGACAGCAAGUCCGAUGUGAAAACCAUGGGCUCAACCUGUGGCCUGCAUUUGAAACUGUUUUUCUUGAGUACUGGCGAGGCAGACGGAAUUCGUAGUGUAGCGGUGAAAUGCGUAGAUAUUAUGAGGAACGCCAGUGGCGAAGGCGGUCUGCUAGACAGCAACUGACGCUGAGGCGCGAAAGCGUGGGGAGCAAACAGGAUUAGAUACCCCAGUAGUC